UACAGAGGGGGCAAGCGUUGUUCGGAAUUACUGGGCGUAAAGGGCGCGUAGGCGGCCUGUUAAGUCGAACGUGAAAUCCCCGGGCUCAACCCGGGAACUGCGUCCGAUACUGGCAGGCUUGAAUUCGGGAGAGGGAUGUGGAAUUCCAGGUGUAGCGGUGAAAUGCGUAGAUAUCUGGAGGAACACCGGUGGCGAAGGCGGCAUCCUGGACCACGACUGACACUGAAAAGCGAAAGCCAGGGGAGCAAACGGG
rnacentral:rRNA from 1 species